rnacentral:ncRNA from 1 species
UUGAAAAAGGCAAACUUAUUGAAAAAUAAGGACGCAAAGCCACAGGUCUAAGAGUUUUAUACUUAUGACGGCUGGGUUACCGAA